rnacentral:RNase_P_RNA from 1 species
GGUGUGGGUCGGGCAGUUGCCCAUUUGUUCCAAUGUAAUCAUUGGGACGAAUGGGAGGAAAGUCCAAACUUCGCAGGGCAGUAAGUUCCGAGCAAUCGGAAAUUCCAGUGGCUAUAUCCACUGGAAAUGGAAAGUGCCACAGAAAACAUACCGCCCCGACUUUUUAAGUCGGGGUAAGGGUGAAAAGGUGGGGUAAGAGCCCACCGUCCCGAUAGCGAUAUCGGGAGCAAGGUAAACCCCUUACGAAGCAAGACCAAAUAGGAGAGGACCUCUGUUCAGUGGUGAACGGAGCCGAGGUUGCCCGCCUCGGUUCCGUCCCAACUGAAGUUGGGACGGAAGACUCUCGGGUGGGUCGCAAAGAGAAAUAACUGCCUCUUCUCACCUUUAAGGUGAGAUAGACAGAAUUUGGCUUACAGACCCACACCAGUU